GACACAUUCAGUAGGAUCCCAGGAUUUACAACACAAUAGUUGACAGUAGGCUGCAUGCCCCUAUCACAUUUUUUUUUAAAAGUAGCAUUGAGAAAAUUCUUCAGAGAUGUGCAAAGUAAGCGUAUGUAAACUGAUUCUAACAGGUAAAAAAUGAUCAAAGGCUAUGCCGUCUAGCGUCAGAAAGAAAUGUAACAUGAAAGCAAUGUCCGCUCUAGCUCGUUGACAUUCAAUUGAAAGAACUGGCAAACAAAGGUAACAAAUAACUUUGAUACUCACGUAAUAUUCACCAUGCAAAAUUUCAUCAAAAAGCCACCACGCAGCAUCACACAUCACAAAAGACGAAAUCCCCAAGGUGAACGCCACUUCAACUUCUACACUGAGGAGAAGGCACUCAAGAUAGAUAUCCGUUCAUGUUGUCAGCAAGUGAUUCCAGACGUUUCAGCACCUGGGCAACAGUGCUGGACAGUGGAUUGCUGAAAGGGAAAACACCCACUUGGUAAGGUAAACCUGCCAGUUAUUCAGAAUGUGUUUCUAUUCAUUGUGGACACAACUAGGCUACACACUACAAGGCAACAGCAGACAUUAAGUCAAUCACAAAUGAUGGUGAAGAUGAAUAAAUCCUUUCCACACUACCCUAUCUGACAACAAUUGCAUGUUCCUGGCUCAUUCGAUCCCCACUCUAGGGACUGGGAAUCUAAUUAAAUUAAAAAUCACCUGUAUCACCCUUUUAGCGUAGAGACGUUUACAAACUUCCCUCUACCCCUACACACUAGGGCUGAAUAGUUAAAUCCCUCCACACUAAAAUAUUUAGCCACCUAGUGACAGCCCUUAGCAUCCAAGGACGACUGGACGGAACGGAUUGUCACCUAGCCCUGCCUGCAAUGGCUGUUUGAGAUUCUUCUCCUAUAAAAAACAAAAAAAAUAGGACAUGCCUAUAAAACUUUGGAAAAUAAAAAAAAAUCAUUAAAUGUACAAACAGAGUGAUUGAGAGAUGGUGGGAAUUUAUCUAUGUUCGUCGGCUUGUCGCCCACUGAAAUUUCGAAUGCGUGUUAAAACCAAGGUUUAAAACGGACCACGGUACCAUGAUAGCAGUAAAAUAAUUAUUCUUCAUAUUAUUAUCAUCGUCAUUAUGAACUAAGAUGGUGCACACUUAAACCUGUUUAUUGUGACCCAAAUGAGAACCUUUCAAUAGUAUCCUAUAAGUAUCCAACAAGUUGAAUGAAAAAUUUGAUAAUAUAGAUUUCCAGAAUAUAAUCUUAAAAUGUCA